rnacentral:lncRNA from 1 species
CAGCAAUAUACUGUAGGUACUACUAUCGCCAUUUACAUAUGAUGCCCAGAGGGGAUAAGUAUUAUCCCCAAUAUCAUAUUGGCUGUAAGGAGUUGAACGCUGAUGACGAUCAUUAAGAUAUGUAGCAUGGGGGCGUGAGCCACUGUGCCCAGCCCAAAAGAGGUUUUCUUGUGUUGUUAUAAAAAUACAUUAUAAACUAUCUGAAUCUGAGUAACAUUUGGGUUCAGAGCUAAAAAAUGACACAUUACUGACAUUUUGAAAAGUUCA